UACGUAGGGUGCGAGCGUUUGUCCGGAAUUAUUGGGCGUAAAGAGCUUGUAGGCGGUUUGUCGCGUCUGCUGUGAAAAUCCGGGGCUCAACCCCGGACUUGCAGUGGGUACGGGCAGACUAGAGUGUGGUAGGGGAGACUGGAAUUCCUGGUGUAGCGGUGAAAUGCGCAGAUAUCAGGAGGAACACCGAUGGCGAAGGCAGGUCUCUGGGCCACUACUGACGGCUGAGGCGCGAAAGCGUGGGGAGCGAACAGG
rnacentral:rRNA from 1 species